AAAAACAUACGUUGCUUUGAUGUAUAUCCCACAGGGAUUCGGAAGUGAGGUGAAAAUCCUCCACAGCCCCCGCUGCUGUAAUGCUGACAACCUGAUCAAUCCACUGUGAAAACGGGAAGGGAUCAGGAAGGUUGAAGCUAAGUCAGAAGACGAGUCAAAGCAAUCCCGGAAAC
rnacentral:ncRNA from 1 species